AGUUGUUUUGAAUCUAAUUAACUUCUAAGUAAUUUCACCUAAGUAAAUUGAACGUAAGUAAUUUUAAAGAACAGAGAAUGUGGUUCUUUUCAAAGAUGCAAUAAAAUAUGGUCUUUCAACUUUGGGUACGAGGAAUUGAGAGAACCACAACAGGAUGAGUUUGAAGCGUAUGAUAAAAUCGACAACUUUUGUGAAAUUUACAUCCGCAUUAACCUCUGAGCCAUUCCGCUUGGCUAUUUACACCCGGGAAAAUAAACGCCUUAGCGAA